CUUCUUUCGUUAUAAGAUAAAUUCUUCAGUAGACAACCUCUCCCACUAAUUGUGUAUUAGCAGUGUAUUUUAUCUUGAGAGCUGACGCAUUGGGCUUUCAACGUGGUGUGGAAAGCAGCCUGUUACAGUGCUGAAUUCAUAAAAAGGCCUUCAUGGUUUGUGAAAGAAUAUCUGUGUGCUUAGACAGGAAACUUUUUGAUCCGCAGAAAGCCAGAAGACAUCUAGGAUGUCUUUAAAGAUUGUAUACAGAGAAAAUUUUAUUCACCUAUAAAGGCAUUUGAACUGGGCAAACAGGACGACAGCAGCAGUGAGUAUGAGAUCAUUGCAGCCCUGUAGCAAACUGGCAUCCUGCCUUUUCACCACUUUGGUUCGGGAGACAAACGUGUACAAUCCUCAUUUUUAAAGUCAGCACAGCCUGGAAGGAUUCCUGGUCUCUCCCACCUUCUACCAUUCUGCUGCCGGUGACGGCAAGGAUUGGUGCAGUUUCUGUGCAGUGCUUUGUGCCUGGAAUACCGAGAAGGAAGAAAAAGAAGAUAAGCCCUCUGGUUCUUCUUUUUAAAGAAAUAACAGGAUCCCUGAAGAAAAAAAAAUCCGAGUUUGUUUUACUACAUGCAAGAGUUCUGAAAAAGAGAGAGAAAGAGAGACGCUCCUGCUCAAAAACAAAAACAAAACAAAACAAAAAUCCAAUCCAAAAAACAAACAAACAAACAAAAAGCAAACAUUGGCUUACAUAACUGCAGAGACAUCGGGCUUUCUAAAGCAGCUUUUUAAGGCAACAUAAUCAAAUGAGCCUUCUUUAUUUUUACUAUUUCAAAAAAUAUGGCAUGAUUAGCAAUACAUUGCACUUGGUGAAAUCGCACCUUUCAUAACAGGGAAAAACUUAAAAUGGAUAUGAGAAGUGAAGAAAGUGAUCAUAGGAGAAAAAUCAUCUCAGGUGUCUGAGGAUUUGUGAGCAUCAAGUGAAUGUUCUGUGGAAUCAUCUUUCCUUGCCUUUGAAUUACCUUUCCCUAGGCCAUGAUCAUCAUCUAUAUUUUAUCUCUCCAAAUUGGGUUGUUUUCUCAGCACAAUGAAAUUACACAAGGGCAUAGAAAUACAAUUUGAAGACAUAGGUUAGAUUUCUGAAGCUCUCUCCAUGAAAUUGAGGUAAGACCAAGAAAUUGACCUCAUCCAGUCUCAUUCUUGUAUAAGCUAAAUCCAAAGUCAAGCAUUGUGCAUAUACCAAACACAUCAUUUCUGUAAUCAUUCAUGGAAAUCAUUUUCUAUAAAGUACCAGAUAGUAAAUACCUUUGGCUUUGCUAGUCAUACAGUUUGUGUCACCACUUCUCAGCACUUGUGUUCAGGUGUGAAGUCAGCCAGACACAUCACAUAAACAAAUGGGUGUGGCUAUACCCCAACAAAGCCUUACUUUUAAAAAAAAGAUGUUCGGCAGAUUAAAUUCACCUGCCGUGCCUUGGUUUGCUAAUCCCAGAUCCUCUCUCCGUUACUGGAAGAUACCCAAAGAACCAGAGUUCUUUCACCUUGUCCUUUCAAAACGUUAAAUCAGUUGGAGCAGAGAGAAUAAAACAUACGAACAAAACAUGAGUGGCAUGAGAGGAUGAUUUAUUUCUAUUCCCCUUAUAUCCUUAAAGUUAUUCCUUAAUUUUGAACUUUUUGCUGCUGUAACUUUUGGACCUGGUCAGAAGAUAUUCUCAAUGACAAAAUUCUUCCUAAAGAAUGAAUGAGGGAUCCACUGAGUAGUUUGACAAGUGUUUUAAUGGAUGGCUCUCUGGGGUGGCAUUUACUAAUUCUGUAGUGCAAAUUUACCAUGGCCAUUUUAAACUGCCAAUAUGAUGUCACUUAACAUUGAGUUAGGAAAAGAUAGGAUCUUGAAUUAGCAUGAGCUGGCUCCAGUUCAGUCCCUGAUAUACAUUUAAAGUUUCCAAUAAUUCUGCUCGCUGCCAUUGCCAAUUCUGUAGAAAACAGUGGUGGGCUUAAUCAGAGCAACUGGCUAGCUGGUCUUCUGCAAUGCCAAGUACAUAAAGUAUAUAAAUGGAAUGCUAUUUAUAAAGCUCUCAGCUCAGUGUUUGACUAAAAUGCAUAUGCAACAAAUAAUACUAUUAUCUUCCUAAAUUAUUAUAAGCAUUAAAAUUAACUGUUUAGCUAUAGACUUAAUCAAAUUUUAAUGCCUUUGUGUUUUUAAGCCUCUUAACCUUGAAGCAGCCAAGUUAAAGGAAUUUUAUAUACCAUUCGCAGCUCGCCCCACUCAAGGUUAAUAUAACAACAAAAUACUCCAACCAGAAUAAAAGAAGUCUCCACUUGACUGUAGCUCUUCAUAACACUUCACGAGGGUCAAGCUGUGUUAUUUUCCCUCAAUGUUAAACAGACUGCAUCUUAGGAACAUAGUUCAAUUAUUGACUGAAUAGUGGCUCCACAUUUACUAUAAUCCAGACAGAUACACUCCAACGAGUUCAUGACCAGGAAUGGGCCAAAGGAAGGGCAAAGGUUUCAGUCAAGUCUAGAGGCAAGCACUUCGAUCGAAUGAGUAACAUGGAUGAUUCAUAUUAUGUCAGCGCAUAGACUAUAGUUCCAGGCCAGUCGUACAAAACUGGCAAGACAAUAAGCAAAAUAUUGACAGUGGUUUGAGUAAUGAAAUUCCAAACUGGACAUUGACUUGAAAAAAAUAAUGAAAUAAUACAUAUGGAUCCUAACAGAAGUUUAUACACAGUUUAGUUCUAAACAGUCUUUGGGUAAAGAGGCUAAUCUAAGAUGUAUUUAAUACUAUUUAUGUGAUUUCUAAACUGUUAUCUUCUAAUCUCCUCCAACCAACACCUUUAAUGUGUAAAGUUUUCUACACAUCUAUAAAAGGUAUGACUAAGGGUUUGUAGGGAAAAUAAAAUAAGACAGUGAGUGUCUCUACCUUCUAUCUAAUAUUAAUCUUUCCCUUAAUUGGCACAUAAUUCAAAUGUUUUGUUAUGGUUAUGCUGCUCUGUCUCUAGAGAGCCCUCUGUUCUAAUAGACACAGUGUAUUAGAGAAGCAGCUCAACCAAACCCUCUACAGAAUAUUUUCCUCUUCCCAUAUAUUACUGAGCAGCUUGAUUUUCUCUGUUUCUGAGACUUUGCUACUUUACUUUUGGUUUUAUGCUCAUACUGAUAUUAGUAUUCAUUUAAAAAGCUUUUACUAGGGAAAUGUGUACAUAAUAGACAUAACUAGAUCUAUUUCUUAGAGAAUAACAAUAAAAAUCUAUUACAAAUGUAGGAUAUAUGUAAAUAUAGAAA